rnacentral:rRNA from 1 species
ACCCGCUGAACUUAAGCAUAUCAAUAAGCGGAGGAAAAGAAACCAACAGGGAUUGCUCUAGUAACGGCGAGUGAAGCAGCAAUAGCUCAAAUUUGAAAUCUGGCGUCUUCGACGUCCGAGUUGUAAUUUGUAGAGGAUGCUUCUGAGUGGCCACCGACCUAAGUUCCUUGGAACAGGACGUCAUAGAGGGUGAGAAUCCCGUAUGCGGUCGGAAAGGCGCUCUAUACGUAGCUCCUUCGACGAGUCGAGUUGUUUGGGAAUGCAGCUCUAAAUGGGAGGUAAAUUUCUUCUAAAGCUAAAUAUUGGCCAGAGACCGAUAGCGCACAAGUAGAGUGAUCGAAAGAUGAAAAGCACUUUGGAAAGAGAGUUAAAAAGCACGUGAAAUUGUUAAAAGGGAAGGGAUUGCAACCAGACUUGCUCGCGGUGUUCCGCCGGUCUUCUGACCGGUCUACUCGCCGCGUUGCAGGCCAGCAUCGUCUGGUGCCGCUGGAUAAGACUUGAGGAAUGUAGCUCCCUCGGGAGUGUUAUAGCCUCUUGUGAUGCAGCGAGCGCCGGGCGAGGUCCGCGCUUCGGCUAGGAUGCUGGCGUAAUGGUCGU